GUUCGUCUUCAGGGGCAGGGUGCAAUUCCCGACCGGUGGUAAAAGUCCACGAACUGCUUGUUACAAGUGGUUGAAUCGGUGCAAAUCCGAUACCGACAGUACAGUCUGGAUAAAGAAGAUAGAG
rfam:Tetragenococcus halophilus NBRC 12172 DNA, complete genome.